GGUGGCUCAGUGGUAGAGCACUUGCUUUGCAUGCAUGAGAUCCUGGGUUUGAUUCCCCAGCACCA
rnacentral:tRNA from 1 species